AACGGCCGUACCAUGCUGAAUAUACCGGUUCUCGUUAGAUCACCGAAGUUAAGCAUCAUUGGGCGCGGUCAGUACUUGGGUGGGUGACCACCUGGGAACACCGCGUGCUGUU
rnacentral:rRNA from 1 species